rnacentral:sRNA from 1 species
CUUGGUCAUUUAGAGGAAGUAAAAGUCGUAACAAGGUUUCCGUAGGUGAACCUGCGGAAGGAUCAUUAAAGUUUGCUUAAUUGCAUUACACGUGUUUUUUUAGAGAACUUGCUUGCAAGAACACUAAUAAUUUACUUAGUCAACAAAUAAAAAUAUCAAAACUUUCAACAACGGAUCUCUUGGUUCUCGCAUCGAUGAAGAACGCAGCGAAAUGCGAUACGUAAUAUGAAUUGCAGAUUUUCGUGAAUCAUCGAAUCUUUGAACGCACAUUGCGCCCUGUGGUAUUCCACAGGGCAUGCCUGUUUGAGCGUCAUUUCUCCCUCAAACCUCUGGUUUGGCGUUGAGUGAUACUCGGUUUACUUGAAAAACAUGAAAAGCAUAACUAUUAGGUUUUACCAACUCGUUAUACUAAUCUACAAGUUUGACCUCAAAUCAGGUAGGACUACCCGCUGAACUUAAGCAUAUCAAUAAGCGGAGGAAAAGAAACCAACCGGGAUUGCCUCAGUAACGGCGAGUGAAGCGGCAGAAGCUCAAAUUUGAAAUCUACGUAAGCCGAGUUGUAAUUUGAAGAUGGCUACUUUGGUAAUGGCUCUUGUCUAUGUUCCUUGGAACAGGACGUCACAGAGGGUGAGAAUCCCGUGCGAUGAGAUGUCCAUUACCGUGUAAAGUGCUUUCGAAGAGUCGAGUUGUUUGGGAAU